UCUGAUUAAGAAGAUGAAAAAUCUUCUCGCCAAAAGACCAAGGGUUCCUGAUCAACGUUAAUCGGAUCAGGUUUAGUCGGAUCCUUAGGUGAACCCGAAAGGGGCAACCGAUGGAAAGUAGGUUAAUAUUCCUACACCUGCUUAUCAAUAAAAGUGACGGAGAGACGUGGUGGCUACGUACUGACGGAAAUGUACGUUGAGCCGAACCUUCGGGGGAAGCAAAGUCAUAAAAUCUCUUCCAAGAAAAGCGAGAUAAGCGGUCCGUACCCGAAACCGACACAGGUGGUCAAGUAGAAUAUACUAAGGCGCUCGAGUGAAUCACGGUUAAGGAACUAGGCAAAUUAGUCUCGUAACUUCGGGAAAAGAGACACCACAGCAAUGUGGUCGCAGAGAAAUGGCCCUGGCGACUGUUUAUCAAAAACACAUGGCUAUGCUAAAUCGUAAGAUGAUGUAUAUGGCCUGACACCUGCCCGGUGCUGGAAGGUUAAGAGGAGAUGUCAGCUCACGCGAAGCAUUGAAUUGAAGCCCCAGUAAACGGCGGCCGUAACAAUAACGGUCCUAAGGUAGCGAAAUUCCUUGUCGGGUAAGUUCCGACCUGCACGAAUGGUGUAACGAUCUGGGCGCUGUCUCAACCGUGAGCUCGGUGAAAUUGUAGUAUCGGUGAAGAUGCCGAUUACCCGCAACGGGACGGAAAGACCCUGUGAACCUUCACUAUAGCUUAGCAUUGGAGUUGUUUAAACGAUGUUUAGGAUAGGUGGGAGACUUUGAAGCGGCCUCGCUAGGGGCUGUGGAGUCGUCCUUGAAAUACCACCCUUUGUUUAAUUGAUUUCUAACCUCUGGGACAGUGCUUGGCGGGUAGUUUGACUGGGGUGGUCGCCUCCGAAAGUGUAUCGGAGGCUUCCAAAGGUAUGCUCAGUACGGUCGGUAAUCGUACGUAGAGUGCAAUGGCACAAGCAUGCUUGACUGUGAGACAUACAGGUCGAUCAGGUACGAAAGUAGGGCAUAGUGAUCCGGUGGUUCCGCAUGGAAGGGCCAUCGCUCAAAGGAUAAAAGGUACUCCGGGGAUAACAGGCUGAUCACUCCCAAGAGCUCACAUCGACGGAGUGGUUUGGCACCUCGAUGUCGGCUCGUCACAUCCUGGGGCUGGAGAAGGUCCCAAGGGUUCGGCUGUUCGCCGAUUAAAGUGGCACGCGAGCUGGGUUCAGAACGUCGUGAGACAGUUCGGUCCCUAUCUGUUGUGGGCGUUUGAAGUUUGAGAGGACCUUUCUCUAGUACGAGAGGACCGGGAAGGACGUACCUCUGGUGUAUCUGUUGUGGCGCCAGCUGCAGUGCAGAGUAUCUAAGUACGGACGAGAUAAGCGCUGAAAGCAUCUAAGCGCGAAACUCACCUCAAGAUGAGACUUCAUUGAGAGUCGUCAAAGAUGAUGACGUUGAUAGGCUAGGUGUAAAGGCAGUAAUGUCAAAGCCGAGCAGUACUAAUUACUCCA
rnacentral:rRNA from 1 species